GAUGAACGCUGGCGGCGUGCCUAAUACAUGCAAGUCGAGCGAACGGACGAGAAGCUUGCUUCUCUGUUGUUAGCGGCGGACGGGUGAGUAACACGUGGAUACCCUACCUAUAAGACUGGGAUCACUUCGGGAAACCGGAGCUAAUACCGGAUGAUAUUUUGCACCGCAUGGUUCAAUAGUGAAAGACGGUCUUUCUGUCACUUCUAGAUGCAUCCGCGCUGCAUUAGCUAGUUGGUAAGGUAACGGCGUACCAAGGCAACGAUGCAUAGCCGACCUGAGAGAGUGAUAGGCGACACUGGAAGUGAGACACGGUCAAGACGCCUACGGGAGGCAGCAGUAGGGAAUGUUACGCAAUGGGCGGGAGCAUGACGGAGCAACGCCGCGUGAGUGAUGAAGGUCUUCGGAUCGUAAAACUCGGUUAUUAGGGAAGAACAGAUGUGGAAGUAAAUGUGCACAGCGUGACGGUACCUAAUCAGAAAGCCACGGCUAACUACGUG
rnacentral:rRNA from 1 species